AUUGAACGCUGGCGGCAGGCUUAACACAUGCAAGUCGAGCGAGCGGCGGACGGGUGAGUAAUGUCUGGGAAACUGUCUGAUGGAGGGGGAUAACCACUGGAAACGGUAGCUAAUACCGCAUACCAUCAGAUGUGCCCAGAUGGGUUUAGCUAGUGGGUGGGGUAGUGGCUCACCACGGCGCCGAUCCCUAGCUGGUCUGAGAGGAUGACCAGGCACGCUGGGACUGAGACACGGUGCAGACUCCUACGGAAGGCAGCAGUGGGGAAUAUUGCGCAAUGGGCGAAAGCCUGAUGCAGCAAUGCCGCGUGUGUGAAGAAGGCCUUCGGGUUGUAAAGCACUUUCAGCGAGGAGGCGUUACUCGCAGAAGAAGCACCGGCUAACUCCGUGCCAGCAGCCGCGGUAAUUC
rnacentral:rRNA from 1 species